UACGGAGGGAGCUAGCGUUGUUCGGAUUUACUGGGCGUAAAGGGCGCGUAGGCGGCAAUUCAAGUCAUCUGUGAAAUCUCCGGGCUUAACUCGGAACGGUCAGAUGAUACUGCUUUGCUAGAGUACAGAAGGGGCAAUCGGAAUUCUUGGUGUAGCGGUGAAAUGCGUAGAUAUCAAGAGGAACACCUGAGGUGAAGACGGGUUGCUGGGCUGAUACUGACGCUGAGGCGCGAAAGCUAGGGUAGCAAACGGG
rnacentral:rRNA from 1 species